UGCCAAGCAUCUCCUAUCCAUACCUCCUCGCGGUACUGGCCGGGGUACGAGCAACCUUAGCGAAGAUCGGGUAACCAACCGCCGGUGAGGUCGUAUACUGACAGGGAAGG
rnacentral:ribozyme from 1 species